rnacentral:piRNA from 1 species
UUGCCUCUGAGGCUCACAUUUCACUUUCCCA